AAAGCGAAAUAAACUAAGGAACGAGAACUAGGGUCGCUAAUCGGAUUAGAUACCCGUGUAGUCCUAGUCGUUAAU
rnacentral:rRNA from 12 species